rnacentral:lncRNA from 1 species
UUAAAAUUAAGAGCAAAUAUAGCCUUUUAGAUAAGUUUUCUAUUUCCGGUGAUAUCAGAAUUUUUUUGGCCAAAGUUAAAAAAGUGAUAUUUAGUUAUAACUCACUAUUUUAAGCCACUUCUGUAAAGUGACUUUUAAAUUCACUUUUGUAAAUCAAACAACCAAUAAAACGUUACUUUUAACCAACCAAACAUGCUCAUAGUUAAACGGAUGAAAAUCUAUUCUUUUUUAAAUAUAUAUCUUAGAGUU